rnacentral:rRNA from 1 species
GACGAACGCUGGCGGCGUGCUUAACACAUGCAAGUCGAACGGAAAGGCCUUUUCGGAGGUACUCGAGUGGCGAACGGGUGAGUAACACGUGGGUGAUCUGCCCUGCACUCUGGGAUAAGCCUGGGAAACUGGGUCUAAUACCGGUUAGGACCGCACUUUAGUGUGUGUGGUGGAAAGUUUUUUCGGUGUAGGAUGAGCCCGCGGCCUAUCAGCUUGUUGGUGGGGUAAUGGCCUACCAAGGCGGCGACGGGUAGCCGGACUGAGAGGAUGAUCGGGCACACUGGAACUGAGAAAGGGUGCAGACGACUACGGGAGGCAGAAGUGGGGAAUAUUGGACAAUGGGGGAAAGGCUGAUCCAGCCAUGCCGCGUGGGUGAAGAAGGUCUUCGGAGGGGAAAGCAGUUUAAGGGGGGAGGAAGGGAAGUAAGUGAAUACCUUGCUGUUUUGACGGUACCAACAGAAGAAGCACCGGCUAACUUCGUG